CCCGCCUGGGUACUACGAGCAAAGCUUAAAACCCAAAGGACUUGGCGGUGUCCUAUUCCACCUAGAGGAGCCUGUUCUUUAAUCGAUAAUCCACGAUUCACCUCACCAUUUCUUGCCUAAACCGCCUAUAUACCGCCGUCGUCAAUUUUCCCUUUGAAGGAACCAAAGAAAGUAAGAAGGUAUCCACCAAAACGUCAGGUCAAGGUGUAGCGAAUGAAAUGGGAAGAAACGGGCUACAUUUUCUAUUAUAGACCAAACGGAUGAUCAAUAUGAAAUCUGAACAUGAAGGAGGAUUUAGUAGUAAAAAGAAAUCAGCAAAUUCUUUUUAACAUGGCCCUGGGACGCGUACACACCGCCCGUCACCCUCUUCGACUCAAAUAAUCUUUAUUUUAUGACCCUAUUUUGAACCUAGAAGAGGUAAGUCGUAACAUGGUAAGUAUACCGGAAGGUGUACUUGGA
rnacentral:rRNA from 1 species